CUUACGCUUAUAACUUAACUAAAAAGUAUUAUGUAUUUAUCCUGUCAGCAAUUUAUGUUCCAGGAAGAAUUUGUUAGGGAUCAAUUUCAUCACAGUUACAAUCUAAUUUGAAGACAUAUGACGCCUAUUCAGUGGUGAGUUAUAAACCCCCUUGCAGCAAGCCUUCCUUGGCCUCCUUUGAUUGUGUUCUUCAUUAAGUCCUCCAACUUACUUCGGUUUAUUGCAUAUGAUUUGCUAUUUUGUUUCAGCUUCUGUGGUAAGAGUCACUGUUUAUAUUUAGUUGAUAUUGUCAGUACAUAGAGAUUAACUAACUUUACACACUUUUCUUUUCUCUUCUCUUCUCUUUUCUUUUCUUUUUUGAGGCAGGGUCUUGCUCUGUUGCCCAGGCUGGAGUGAAAUGGCAAGAUCAGAGCUCACUGCAGCCUCAAACUCCUGGUCUCAAGCGAUCCUCCCACCUCCGCCUCCCUCAAGUAGCUGAGACUGCAGGCAUGCAUCAUCAUGCCCACCUAAUUUUUUUAAGUUUUUGUAGAGACAGGGUCUCCCUAUGUUGCCCAGGCUGGUCUUGAACUCCUAGACUCAGGCGAUUCUCCUACUUUGGCCUCCCCAAAUGCUCAGAUAACAGGCUUGAGCCGCCAUGCCCAGUGCCAUACAUAGCGUCUAGUCAGCUACCGUAUUAUACUAUAAUUGGGUUUCUAUUGAUUAUAUUGAUUCUCAUUCUCACCCCCAUAUUAAUUUU
rnacentral:lncRNA from 10 species